GCCAGCAGCCAUUUCACCCUGCAACUCACAACUGGCAACCCACUGAAGCUAAGCAGGUGUGAGCCUGGUCAGUAUGUGGAUGUGAGACCUCCUGGGAAAAACUAAGGUUGCUGUUGGAG
rnacentral:rRNA from 1 species